CUCCUUAUAUGAAGACAGUCUCUGCAGUGGCUCGCGGCGAGUCGCUGGUUCCGCCUCUCAUCCUUUAGAGUACUCUAGUUAUCGCAGCUCUGGCUCCAGAGCCUCCUCCAGGGCCAGUUCGGCCCGCGCCAGCCCAGUGGACAACUGCGGCUCUGUUGCCAGUUUUUUGAGGAGCGCGGCCAGUAGCAGUGGCCUCCCCCG